rnacentral:rRNA from 1 species
AUUGAACGCUGGCGGCAUGCUUUACACAUGCAAGUCGAACGGCAGCAUAGGCUUCGGCCUGAUGGCGAGUGGCGAACGGGUGAGUAAUGCAUCGGAACGUGCUCCAUAGUGGGGGAUAACUACCCGAAAGGGUAGCUAAUACCGCAUACGUCCUGAGGGAGAAAGCGGGGGACCGCAAGGCCUCGCGCUAUGGAAGUGGCCGAUGUCCGAUUAGCUAGUUGGUGGGGUAAAGGCCUACCAAGGCGACGAUCGGUAGCGGGUCUGAGAGGAUGAUCCGCCACACUGGGACUGAGACACGGCCCAGACUCCUACGGGUGGCUG